UGACCAAUGGAAUGGAAGCAGAAAUAUUUUGUGGCAGUUCCGGGGCACAUUCCUUAAGAUAAGGUGUUUAGGCACCUUUUCCCAAUUUCAUUUUAUCCUGUCUUUUUAAUUUAAGAUUCAAGUUACCUCUGGUGGAUGAGCAAGAAGAGGAAGACUGGGUCACAGAGAAUGUGAAGCAGCCCAGUGCAGCACUGCCAGGCUGACAACCUGGCCUUUGCUGUGAGAGAGAAAUGAACUUCCACUUUAGUGAAGCUGCUGCUGUUUUAGUUUCCAUCAAUUUGUAGCAGUGACUUAUCCUAACUAAACAUCUGUGUUGACAUCCAUGUUGUCAACUGGGUUUGGAUGAGGUAAGGGGAAGACCUUUGUCUCUGCCCCAGGAGUGAGGUGUCUUCUGCCAUCAUCCAAGACGAUAAGCUUGCAGAUGAAAGAAGUCCUCAAAGGAAAACUUUUUGC